GAGAGCCAUGUCUGUCCCAGGAGUAAGAUUUGGUCCAGAACCAGUCUCAGCAUGAAGAUCCUUUAUCUGCUGUUCACAUUUCUUUUCCUUGCAUUCCUGUCUGAACCAGGGAAUGCCCAAGGACAGUGUUUUUCUCGAGGAGGACACUGCUUUGACAAACUAUGUCCUCGUGGACAUUUUAAUCUUGGGCAGCUGGACUGUGGGCGGGAACACAAGUGCUGUGAACGCAAAAUUGGAAAAUAAUGCCAUCUCCAUCUAGGACCAUGCAUAUCUUCAAGAUAUGGCCAAGGACCUGAGAUUGCCGCCUGCUAUCGCUUUAUCUUUCUUUAUCUAAAUAAAAUUGCUACCCAUCAAA